rnacentral:lncRNA from 1 species
AGGAAUUAAAAUAAUUAAAGUAAGCAGUAACUGGAAUUUGGAAAAUAAAACUAAAUAUAUUGAUUAAUGUAACUUACAAAACCGAAACUGGAAUUGAACAGGAAACAAAGGACAAGCUGUAGCUCUCAACACGUAAAGCAGUAAACUUAAUUCUAAGAAUUUAAAGUAAGUGUUUUUUCUCUUAAGCUCUAACUUGUCGU